UCAUGUCACCAGAAUGAGACCCUCGAUAUAUUUGGGAAAGGAGCAUCAAGAUCAUCGUGCACUUUCACCAUCCUGUGAAGUUCAUAACUUCAUCUGUAGCCUAAUAAACUGCACGGUGUCUGUCCUGAGUCGUAUUGGGAGGACCACACACCGUAUCAUCGCGUUGACUCCAAGUUUACUUCGAUCUGAUGGUUAUUAUAUAAUAUUUGCGCAUAAGGGCGUUUCCACCACAAUUUCUGUGAAUUCAUUUCACCGACGCAAAAAGAUCCCAUGUCAAACAAAUUAUCUGUCGGCAUUUAUCAAAAUUAUACCGAAAUUACCUGUUUCUAUCACAGCUGUCGUGAUUUUUUUCAAAAUAAGAUGACUUUACUUUCAUAACUGGAUGGAAACGCGAUCAAAAUUCACCCAGGCUCAAACGUUACGGUCCCAAAGAACGUCUAGAGGGCAGUCAUGCAACUAGGCCAACAGUUACAUUGACAUGGCAAGAGCUGCUGUUGGGUGCUUUUGAUGUUGACAUGUUGCUGAAGAGCAACCUGAGAGAUUCUGUCAUGAAGUCCUUACCUGGUUCAACAAAUGGACACGUGGGAAUGGCUUACAACAAUAACAUGGCUGAAUUAAGAAGUGAUGGGAGCAAAAAAUGGAAUUAAUUGGAUUAAAUGUGUUUAGUGUUUUGAGUCGUUUCAUUCGAACGUUUUAUUACCAUGACUACUAAGUAUCACUAAAUUAAUGUUCCUGUUACAUAAACUAUAUUUACAAAAGAAUGUGGAAACCCUUUCAAAUUAAUGUAUUCGCCUAUUUCAGCCACACCCGUUGCUGACAGGUAAAUAAAAUCGAGCUGCUAUGCAAUCUACAUAGACAAAUAUUGGCAGUAGAAUGGCCCGUACUGAAGAGCUCAGUGACUUUCAAUGUGGCACUGUCAUAGGAUGCCAGAUUUCCAACAGCUCAGUUCGUCACAUUUCUGACCCAGUCAACUGUAAGUGUUGCUAUUGUGAAGUGGAAACAUCUAGGAUCUACAACGUCUCAGCCGCGAAGUGGUAGAACACAAGCUUACAGAACGGGACUGCCGAGGGCUGAAAUGCGUAACGCGUAAGAAAUCAUCUGUCCUCGGUUGCAACAUUCACUAACGAGUUUCAAACUACCUCUGGAAGCAACAUCAGCACAAUAACUCAUCGGGAGAUUCAUGAAAUGGGUUUCCAUGGCCAAGCAGCCACACAUAAGCCUAAGAUCACCAUGCGCAAUACCAAGCAUCGGCUGGAACAAAUCUGGGUUUGGCAGAUGCUAGGAGAACGCUACCUGCCCGAAUGCAUAGUGCGAUCUGUAAAGUUUGGUGGAGGAGGAAUAAUGGUCUGGGGCUGUUUUUCAUGGUUUGGGCUAGGACCCUUACUUCCAGUGAAGGGAAAUCUUAACGUGACAGCAUACAAUUACAUUUUAGAUGAUUAUGUGCUUCCAAUGUUGAGGAAACAGUUUGGGGAAGGCCCUUUCCUGUUUAAACAUGACAAUGCCCCGUGCACAAAGCGAGGUCCAUAAAGAAAUGUUUUGUCGAGAUCGUGUGGAAGCACUUGACUGGCCUUCACAGAGCCCUGACCUCAACCCCAUCGAACACCUUUGGGAUGAAUAGGAACGUCGACUGUGAGCCAGGCCUAAUCGCCCAACAUCCGACCUCACUAAUGCUCUUGUGGCUGAAUGGAAGCAAUUCCCUGCAGCAAUGUUCCAACAUUUAGUGGAAAGAC